UCCUCUGAGAGAAACUCAUGAGGCCACACCCACUGUGGCUCCUGCUUCCCGCCUCCAGGUUGGGAUUUCCUUACCCCGCCCCGGGCGGCUUCUGGCCAACGAAUGUGAGACAGUAGAGCGAGGAGACCUAAACUCUUAAACCUUGUCAUCGGAAGACCCACCUAGUUUGUAUUAACGGAUUAAGUCUAGUCCUGUUUGAAAAUUAUGGACGUUCUGUCUUUCCAAACUUAAGUUUCUUCACCUAUGAGCCAGGAUGGGUGGUGUCACAAUUCCUAGGUGGCACUGAAAGAUUGCAUGAACUCACGUGGCCAGCUGUGAGUCCCACAAACUCAGUACUGUACCCGCGGAUAUCGUUACUGGGAUCCCAGCAGGUUGCAGGUUUUUUGGUUUUUGAAGCGGGGUCUCAGCCUGGGGUUCAGGCUGGGCCUGAACUCCCUAUGCAGCCCAGGCUGGCCUUAACUCUAGGCGGUCCUCCUGCCUCAGCCUCCGGAGUGCUGCUGGGAUGACAGUUGAGCAAAUCUUUGCAGAUUCGUGCUGGAUUAUCUCGUGUACCAAGAGGAUUUCUGAUGCUGUGCAGUAAGUUGCUAAGGGUUUCACUAUGCAAUUGAGGUUGGUCUUGAGCUCACUUUGUAUAUCAAGCUGGUCUUGAACUUGCAACGAUCCUCCUGCCUCAGCCUCUCAAGUGCUAGGAUUACAGCUUGGAAAGUAAGAAGCAUGAGUUGGGAGAAGGUUCUGGGAAAUGAAGAGAUAGUUCUGUGGUUGAACCCAUGGUGUUGUGGAUGCUAAGCAGGCAUUCUGCUGCUGAGAUAUAACCAACAAGAGAAGAAUGAUGUGGGUGGAUGAUGAUGAUUAUGAUGAUGACAAUGAUGACUUUGACAUUGACCAUAUGAGACAAAGUUCCUGUAACAGUGAAAUGGAGCAAGAAUUGACUGAUACAGACACAGGACUGGCCACGUGGUUGAAUGCUCCUCAGAUGCUAGGAAUAUGCAACAUCUGGAUGUGAUUCUCAAGAAGUUGUAUUCUCUCAUGUUGACAAGCCUACUGCAUGCAUGCAUGCCACAGCUGGCUGUUUACCAUUGAAAGCUCUAAAAGGUUUGCCAUCACUAUUAUAAGUCCAUUUGCUUAAAAUGAAGCUAGAAUUCAGGAUAGAGUAGAAAUAUGGAAAUAAUCUGGUACUGGACAACAUAAUGGUGUCACUAAAUUAACCAAAUUUGAAGCUUUUACUAUCUACAAUGGGACAUAAUUUUCCUUAUGUUAAAGCUCAUUUGAGGUUUCUUGUUACUUGCAGUCAAAAUAAUCCUGACUUACCAUUUUCAUUAUAAUUAUAGAUCUAUUUCUAAGCUCUAGUUUAUUAAACUGAUCAUUUUUUUACUAUUACAUAAUUUUAUAUAUGUGUAACUUCAUUUACAAUGACUUUGUAGUUUUACUGUUUUCUUAUUUGGAAAACCAAAAUCUUCAGCUCAACUACUGUUUUUUUCCAUGAUGUUUUUGCCAUUCUCAAAUGCUUAUUUUUUCAUAAUGAACUUUUCAUCUUAGAAUGGAAAAAAUGGAGUAUGAAAAAAUUUGAUAUGCAUACUGAACAUUAUAAGGCCCUUUAACAACCAACUAUAGACAAAACACUGAGAUAUUUUAAUCGAGACAUUUCCUUAUCACAUUUUCCUUGAACAAUUAAUAUUUCAUAUUUUGACAGAAGAGAACAAUCAUUCCAUAAUCAGAAAAAAUUGCUGAAGAAACACUCACUGAAAUGUAAGAACUGUCCUACUUACAAUAUUAUAUAGUUCUGAGUAUCAACAGUUGGAAGUCUAGAGAAUGCUGAGUUUCACAUUUUCUUCAUUUAACUAAAAACCUAGUAAUGCUGGUGGUGAAUUCAUUAUCAAAGAUAAUAGUUAAACUUAAUUUUUUUUUUGUCUUUUUCUUUUUUAUGGGUACCAGGGAUUGAACUCACGACCACACACUUGCAAGGGAGGCACUUAUGCCUCUGAGCUAAAUCCCAGCCCCUAAACUUAAUUCUUGAAGCAUUCCAUUGUAAUUUUUUUUUUUUAUCUCUGUGGGUCUAUAGCACUUGAUUCAAAAUAUGAAUUCUCUGAAGGGAAUUAAUUUUCCCUUUCCAAGUCUCAAUUUCUCAUAUUGUAGUGGUUUUUUUUUUCAUGUUUACACUAUUAUCAGAAUUACAAAAACUUUCCCAUGACCACCUUCCCAGUAAUUGUCUUGUUUAUUUUACAUCAUAGGCAAAUAUCAUAAGUUAACUGGAAAUAUGUUGCCUCAAUUUUGUCUCUAGAAGUAGCGUGAAUGGGUGGAAAGAGUGCUUGUCUAAGAAACAUCAGCUGUGGAAUUCACUAUUUCUAUCACUUUGGAUGACUAGGUAAAUCUCUAUAAAUCUCAUUUGCUUCUUCAUCUAUUAAAUGGAAAUACUAUUUAUUCCAGAAGUUUGCUGUAAGAAUAUGAGAGCUGGGGGAAGAGAAACAAAAUAAAACUAAACUCAUGGGAAUAAAAAAAGUAUCUGAGAAAAAGUUAUUAAAAGUUUUCAUCCAUUUCUUUCUUCACUAUAAUCUAUACUCCAUCUUGUAUUACAACUUAGUCCCUUAAAGAUCACCACUGACCAUUCUUGAAAUUUAAUCUAUAUAACCUUGGACUUAUCUUGGUUUUUAUUUUAUCCUGAUCAAUGAUUACUUCUCCCUUGCAUUGGAUAGUUUCAAAUACUCAAAUCUUGGUGGUCUGUCCUUCUUUUGUCAUCUAUAUUCUUUCCUUUUGAAAAAUGAUCCAAGUUUAUUGCUUUGGUGAUCAUGCCUUUGCUUAUGAUAUUACCUUCUCCACCUCACUUCUGUUUUCUCAGCUCCCUCAUUCUCAUACCUUUAUUACAUGUAUAAACCUUAAAUUCUCAAAAUGACCUUCAAGAAGAAAAA